UACGUAGGGGGCAAGCGUUGUCCGGAUUUACUGGGCGUAAAGAGCGCGUAGGCGGAAGCUUAAGUGUGGCCUGAAAGCCCCCGGCUCAACCGGGGAGGGUGGCUGCAAACUGGGCUUCUUGAGGGCGGCAGAGGAGAGUGGAAUUCCAGGUGUAGCGGUGAAAUGCGUAGAUAUCUGGAGGAAUACCGGUGGCGAAGGCGGCAUCCUGGACCGGCAUUGACGCUGAGUGAGCGAAAGCCAGGGGAGCAAACGGG
rnacentral:rRNA from 1 species